rnacentral:sRNA from 1 species
UGGCCGCCCCUUCACCAAGAAGUUCCGCAGUGCCGGCCAUGGCCGUGACAGUGACAAGCGGCCGUCCCUGGGGCUGGCACCCGGGGGCCUGGCCGUGGUCGGCCGCAGUGCUGGAGGGGAGCCAGGGCCCGAGGCUGGCCGGGCAGCCGACGGUGGUGAGCGGCCUCUGGCAGCCAGCCCGCCAGGCACCGUGAAGGCUGAGGAGCACCAGCGGCAGAACAUCAACAAAUUUGAACGCCGACAAGCCCGCCCUCCAGAUGCCUCCGCAGCCCGGGGAGGCGAGGACACCAAUGACCUACAGCAGAAGCUGGAGGAGGUGCGGCAACCCCCACCCCGAGUCCGGCCAGUCCCCUCCCUGGUGCCCCGGCCCCCCCAGACAUCACUUGUCAAGUUCGUGGGCAACAUCUACACCCUCAAAUGCAGGUAGGCUGCCCCUGGGGGAGGGAGGGAGACCACCUGAGUGGACCUUGGUCACCCGGAGCCUUGGAACAGGAUAGGGUUUGGUGGAAGCUGGGAGGUGUCGCCUCAGUGGCUGCCCUUGGGUGU